rnacentral:rRNA from 1 species
UACGAAGGGGGCUAGCGUUGCUCGGAAUCACUGGGCGUAAAGGGUGCGUAGGCGGGUCUUUAAGUCAGGGGUGAAAUCCUGGAGCUCAACUCCAGAACUGCCUUUGAUACUGAGGAUCUUGAGUUCGGGAGAGGUGAGUGGAACUGCGAGUGUAGAGGUGAAAUUCGUAGAUAUUCGCAAGAACACCAGUGGCGAAGGCGGCUCACUGGCCCGAUACUGACGCUGGACGCACGAAAGCGUGGGGAGCAAACAGGG